CUACGGGUCGCACCAGUGGGGAAUAUUGCACAAUGGGCGCAAGCCUGAUGCAGCCAUGCCGCGUGUAUGAAGAAGGCCUUCGGGUUGCAAAGUACUUUCAGCGGGGAGGAAGGGAGUAAAGUUAAUACCUUUGCUCAUUGACGUUACCCGCAGAAGAAGCACCGGCGAACUCCGUGCCAGCAGCCGCGGUAAUACGGAGGGUGCAAGCGUUAAUCGGAAUUACUGGGCGUAAAGCGCACGCAGGCGGUUUGUUAAGUCAGAUGUGCAAUCCCCGGGCUCAACCUGGGAACUGCAUCUGAUACUGGCAAGCUUGAGUCUCGUAGAGGGGGGUAGAAUUCCAGGUGUAGCGGUGAAAUGCGUAGAGAUCUGGAGGAAUACCGGUGGCGAAGGCGGCCCCCUGGACGAAGACUGACGCUCAGGUGCGAAAGCGUGGGGAGCAAACAGGAUUAGAUACCCCCGUAGUC
rnacentral:rRNA from 1 species